rnacentral:tRNA from 1 species
GGGGAUUUAGCUCAGUGGUAGAGCCUGUGCCUAGCAAGCACAAGGCCCUGGGUUCGGUCCUCAGCUCCG